rnacentral:rRNA from 1 species
AUUGAACGCUGGCGGCAUGCCUUACACAUGCAAGUCGAACGGCAGCACGGGGGCAACCCUGGUGGCGAGUGGCGAACGGGUGAGUAAUGCUUCGGAACGUGCCUAGUAGCGGGGGAUAACAUAUCGAAAGAUGAGCUAAUACCGCAUACGAUCUACGGAUGAAAGAGGGGGAUCGCAAGACCUCUCACUAUUAGAGCGGCCGAAGCCUGAUUAGCUAGUUGGUGGGGUAAUAGCCCACCAAGGCGACGAUCAGUAGCUGGUUUGAGAGAACGACCAGCCACACUGGGACUGAGACACGGCCCAGACUCCUACGGGAGGCAGCAGUGGGGAAUAUUGGACAAUGGGCGGAAGCCUGAUCCAGCCAUGCCGCGUGUGUGAAGAAGGCCUUAUGGUUGUAAAGCACUUUAAGCGAGGAGGAGGCUACUUUAGUUAAUACCUAGAGAUAGUGGACGUUACUCGCAGAAUAAGCACCGGCUAACUCUGUGCCAGCAGCCGCAGUAA